rnacentral:lncRNA from 1 species
GUCUGCCACACACUGGGAAAUGCUGGAGUAAACAAAAGGAAAAGGUGGCUUCUGUAAGCUGCAUUCCAUUCCCAACCAGGAGAGGCUCAAACCAUGAGGACAGUUGUUGACACUAGCAAGUAUGUUGGUGGGCAGCUCUGGGUUAAGCUUGGUUGCUCUUCAGUAACAGGCACUAGAUUGGCAUCUCCUGUCUGUAUUCUCAGGGCCCUCCUCUCAUGGUCCCAAGAUGGCGGUCAUGGCUCCAGGAGUCAUAUUCUGGCACACGACUUCACGCACAAGCAGAAAGCAAGGAAAUGUCAAAAAAGAAAGCACAUUCUCCCUGUGUUUCUUUUUAUUUCCAGAGUCACCAAACGAAGUUUCAUUGAUCAGAAGAACUGAGUCACAUGUGCAUACCUGGCAAAAAGAUCACAGACUCCGUCUAUUGACUUCAGCUCACUUGAGGCCCUCUUCCACUUCUUCCUUCUUCCAGUCAACAAAGGUCUAUCAUAUCCAGCCCUUUAUCCUCACCAACAGACAAGGUCUGGCAAGGGUCUGGCACUUGGAGCUACAGUGAACUACCAGAGUUUUCAGAGUGACAAGACCAGAAUCCAGACUGAGUUUUCAGCAGCUCAAUUGAAUCUCUCAGGAUCAUAAAUUUGGAGAAGAUCAUGAAAGGGAUCACAUCCAUCCUUCUCAUCCCAGGUAAGAGAGCAUCUGAACCACUUCAAAAAGUCCUUAGUCUAAUCCUACCUCUUUCCUUGUUGAUGCCAUUAUAUGCAACCACUACCAUAGGCAGCAGUGAUUAGCGGAUAGAGCUCAUAUAAGAGAGUAGAAACUUGAGUGAAAAGUCGUGAAGUGACUCCAUAAUGAACAAGCAAAUAACUCAAGUAGCAGAGAAAAAUCCCAAACAGAGUCAGGCUGUCCCAGAAAAGCCAUUUAAGUGAUGAUGGGCAAGUCUCAAAUCAUCCUUUCUUCUGGAAUUCCACGU